UCCUUAGUGUUGUCAAAGAUAUGUCUCUACAGAGAGGAUCAGAGCUGCAUUUUGUCCUGCCUCGUAUCCCCUGUGAGCAGAUGCCUGAGAAGACCACGCUGGAGCCCUAAGGUUGGAUGAUCGAUGAAAUGAGCCAACCAAAAGGUGCUCCAGAGAGCUCCCCGGCUCCUACAAGUGAGCAGAGCGCUCCGAGAGCCCCUAGGACGUAGCACUGAGGUUCAUGAUCAUUCUGCUCCUGCUGGAAAUGAGCUCCACAGCCCCAGACCAGCUGGCGAGAGGGUGCCUACGUGGUGGAGUUUCCACUGAGGCCGGUGGAUCUGCCAUUCCUGAGGAAACUGGACAUCAGGAGAAGUCACGGACAGAACGAGUGAGGUAACAACCUGAAUAAUUUGUGUGAGUCCAACUGACUGCAUGACAACAGUAAGUAGCAUAAGAAGGAAAGCUAUCUGGCUGGGUAUAUGAGCGUAGUGCUUCAAGGAUUCAUCUUGGGGACGGAUCUUAUUUAAUAUUUUCAUGAAUGGCCUUGGCACAAAACAGAGCGUGUUGCUGAAGCCUGCUGAUGACACAAACUUGGGAGGCGUGCCAUACGGAAAGAACUGGAUGACCUUGAAGACUGGAGUAAUAGAAAUGAGAUGAAAUCCAGUAGUGCAAAAUGCAAAGUCAUGAGUUUAGGGAGUAACAAGAAUUUCCACUAUAAACUGGAGACUUGUCAGCUGUAAAUGACAAAGGAGAAGAAGCACAUGUGGCUUGCUCCGUUGCAGGAUGGGGCCUUUGAAAAGCUGCUAGGCAAAAGCAAUGCCUUGUUUUUGCUGUGUCCCUCAUCCUCUGAACAAGUUUUCCACGGGGCUCAAAGGAACCUUCUACCCUCGCCUUAAAUGUUGCGUUUUCUACUCCAGAGCUGAGAAAUAAACCGAAUAUCUACCCUCUCAGCUGAAUUUCCAAAGGAUUUCCAAAAACCCACGUGCUGUCCAAAAAAAGAAAAACCAAACCAAACCAACCAACCAAAAAAAGGAAGAGAAACUUCAAAAGAGAGGGAAACAAAUGAGAAGAAGUUAGAAAUGGUUUCGGGAAAGGAGAUCACUGUCCCUCCGUGCAGCCCGAGCCUGAGGCAUCCCAGCAGGGAACAAGCCUCCAGCAGGGAAGCCGAAGUGUUGAGCUCCCCAGAAAGAUCUGAAGAGAUGGGUAAUGCAAAGAGCAAAAAUUGUGCGAUGUGAAGGAAGGAGGAAGCCAAAGAAAAGCCAGAGAAGGCUUUGUAGCCUGCAGCUUUCCUCUCACUUGAUCUGACCUGAAGCACAAGCUUCUCAAGAGUGAAGGUCCUGCAUCAUCCCUGGGUGCUCCAGGAGCUGCUGAGCGAAAAAUGCUGUCAAUUAAGACGAGGACUGUGGAUCCCUGCUGAGGGAGAGCUCACAAAGCCCUGUGUUCUCCACAGUUGAGGGUCUUGUGAAUCCGUUGGGAUCUGCCCCCUUUUGUGCCCUGCACGCUGCACGCACGAGCUGAGGUUUGCCUUUCCUGCUGCGCUCUGCAGGGCCAAUCCAAAAUAGCUCCGGGCCAGAUUUCUAAGAAUUCAGCACCCACAGCCAGGGCCGAGCGAGGAAGUCAAGAGCGAGCUUAAUGUAAUGAGUAGGUCAAAACUUCUCCUCGAGGAGAAGUCCCAAAUCAGAGUGGGGUUCCCUGCCACUGCAUAGCCUGUGUUUCUACCUCUGAGGGGCACUGGCAGGAAGAGAUGAAGGAGUUCAGCCUGCCCAAACCGUCCCUCUUGGGGUGAAGAACUCUGCCCUCUUCUCGGGGAAUUCCUGGCUCUGGGCUUGUUGGACCCUCUGCACGGUAAUAAUUAGCAGACAAAUCCUGCUGACUUGGGAAACUCAUCUGAGGGUUUGUUUGUGUGUUUGUUGUUUUUAUGAGAAGGUCCAUAUGCCUUUCAGAUUUUGUUAUUUUCAGAGAGCUGAUGAUCUGAGGAACAGAAUGAAGAGUUGACAUUGUUGGUUGUUUUCUUGGCCUGGUUUAAACAGCAGAUGGAGGUUGGUAGAAGGGCUACAGCUCGUUACUUUAUCCUGGUGGAAUUUGAUGAGUUUUAUUGCAAAGACAAUAGGGCAGAUCACGACAGCACUCAACCCAGGGAGAAAAGAGAAAGCUUUGUACCUGGCGGGUACUGAUCGUCCGCCAGCGUGCCCUUCAUGUGUUGGAUCCCAUCCAAGAGGUAAUGUGGGGAUUUCUGUGUGUAGUUAAAGUUUAUGAGACUGCCUGCCUAAACGCAUGCGUGUGUGUGUGUGUGUAGCGAGGAUCCCUAGCAUAAUACUUAAUCAAAAUCCAGUUUUACCAGUGAUAUAAGACAGAUAGAGCACCGAGUACAGAGCCUCAGGAUCUGCCCCUGCAGCUCAGACGCUGUAUCUGGCAUACGCAGUAACUGCCAGCACACGUGGUGUGGGACUUCAUCGGAAAUCCUGAAUUUGACCUGGAUUUUCCAAAUCAGAACCUUGUUUUAAAUCUGAAGAUGACAGUGCCUGGUAAUUCAUGCGUUUGCUGAUCUCUGGGGCAGUUCUAAUUCAACGCUGGUUUCUUUCCAGGGCAUGAAAAUCCUAUCUAACAUGCAGUGCCUCUGGAAUCUGAUUGUUACUCCAAAAAGUGUGCUCACUCAAAGCGUUUCAGAAAUGGGCAAUAGAGUUUGAGCCAUAACUUUAUCAGCAGAGCACAGAUACUCAUCUCUAAGUGCUUGCUGGAUCAUGUUCCUCCUUUCAACACUCUCCUCUUCCUGCUGAGUAACCUGCACCUAGCGCUGUUUUUAUCAGGUUUUUGAGAUUAUGUCUUGCCCUUUUGCUGGCUGAACUGCCCAGAAAUGAGAGCAGGCACCUUAUUUUAUAACUCUGCUCCUGACUCGAUCAGGCUGUAGCUUGAGACUUCUAGUGCUAUUCUCGGGGUGCUGUUUGUGAACCCUGCUACCAUGAUCCAUAGAAAUCCUUAUUCCCCCUUUAUUCUUUGCCACGGGUGCCAGCACUGACCUUUCAUUCACACCAUCCUUCUGCUGUCUUGAGGUUGUUCCCUGAGGUGACUCCUUCAAGUACUGCUGUAGCUGACCCUUGCCUAGUUGUUUCUCCUGUUCCCUGAGCUGCAUUUUCACCUGUUUUCCAUUCGUUUCCCAGUUUGAAUGAAUCUCACUCAAAUAGGAAUGAUCAGAGAAGAUUUGAGGAAUCACCAGUGCCCUCUACAACAGCAAUGACUCCUGAUGAGCCACUUUCUGUCUGUGUCCACGCAGGGUGGCUCUGCCAUCCCAGCAGUACUGGAAAACUAGAGAACUUCGUAGGAUGUUGAUCCCUUCUUCCUGGUACUGAUAAUCUCUUUUAACUGUGCUGCAGCACGUUUGGUUAGAAAUGCUGCUACAUUUUGCAGCAACACUGGUCGAGGCAGUGUUAAAUGCAGACAUCCCACGGCUGAUAUUGAGAAUUCCUCCAGUAACCUCCCUUCAGUUCAGCUGUUCUGACAGUACAACUUGCUCUCAUCUCCAUUUUAGCCUAUUUAUUAUCCUCCUUACAGCACUUGUCUUAUCCCUAUCGUCUCCAGUUUAACUAGUCAUUUUGCAUGGCAACGUAUCAAGGGUUUCCCUGGUCUUUGGAUAGAGUUGGCACAAAUGGCUGGUGUUGUUAUAUCCAGGACUGAAGUUUGUCCCUUAGGUCAUGUUUUGCCAUAGCUUUCUUUGUCCUUUACCCAGUGUUUCUUCUGAAGCUUUACAUAAUAUUGAUACUGCUGUUGUGAGCCCAUACAUGAUCAAGUCGUUUUUUUCUCCUUAGAUAAAGGCACUGCUUUUUCUUUUCUUUAAAUUAUCGGUUUCAGCAUAAUAAAUCUUAUUAUCAGAUUUGUAACUCCAUGUGUUAUGACUUUCAGUAUUUAGAGCUGGAUUGACAUUGCUUCCUCCCAGCUCAAGCACAUUCAGCUUUUAAGUUAUGCUUGGGUGAGUGACUUCUAUAUUUCUCCUUGAGGGAUUGCUGCAGUCUGGGAUGUACCAAAUGCAGCUAAAAGAGAUGGAUCUUUAACUUUGUACACACACAUUUAUUUAUUUUUUUACUUUUUUAUUCUCUAGAGACAUGCUGUGGAUGUGGGGUUUCUACAGUCAGGUAGUUAAGUAUCUCAGCAGCAUGUCCACUGUCACUAAGAUUGUGUAUAGAUGUUUUAAAACAGGCUUAAGGCAUAGAUAAAAUGUAUGUACAUAGCAUGUUUUUGUUAGCUCCAUCUCUAGAGAAGGAAGCCUUUCACUUUCCUGCUAAAGAGGGGUUUUAAUAUCUGCAGUUUUCAUAUACUGCAAGUCAAGCAUGUGAAGAGACUGUUACCUUUCCAGGACACGCUGCAGGAGGAAGGCAAACCAAUGUUAAUUUGAAAGCAUGGCUGUAAUAAGCCUCCUUCGACAUCAGACCUCUCUGGAUGAUGAGCUGGGAUCCGUUAUGAAAGGAUCUUUGUCACGAAUUGGCAAACGGAAUGGCUGAGAUCCAGGGCAACCCUUCUGCAGACAUGAAGAGAGUCUGUAACCCGAGGAAAGCUGAAGAAACUAGACCUGAAGGAGAUAACCUUUCGCAGGUGGAGGAGUGGUGGCUUUCUGGAGAGAGUGAUAAAUGGUGAAACUUUUGCCAGGUUAUUAGUGUCUCCCAGGCUCAUUUCACGUGGAAUGCAGAGUGGCAGGCUCUCAGAGUGCCACAGGCACCAGGACUGGAGUCUGACAUGGUGCUCCAGUCAUCAGCAUCACACAAACUCUGCACCUCUGACAGCAACAGCCCUGAACUAGGCAAAACCAGUGUGUCCUCAGCUUUUGGGGGUGCUUUCUGUGAGGGUGUGGACAUAUUCACCGUAAACAUUUUUCUGAGCAGCAGUACUAGGAAUGGGGAAUCCUCUAAAUGUGAAGGACAAUGUCAGAUUAUAAUUGAAAUUCAUAUUUACUAUCUGCUAUUCUAGUUCAUUCUUUUUCCUCUAGAGUUGCUCUCUGCAAAUCUUUCCCCUGCCUGGGAAGUGGUGCUGCAGAUCCCCAGCUCUGUGCAGUCACACCAUUCAAUUUGUUUGGAAGUGCAAGCUGCAGUCUUAAAAACACUUAAAAUUCGGUUGUAUCUGGGGACAUUAUCACGAGAUAAGUGAAAGGUCUGUUCUUUAUCUGAAGAGAAAUUUUAGCUCGCAAUUUUUAUGCCUUGUUGCAAAGAAUCAAGACACAACAACUUUGUAAACUGAAGGGCUCAGAGAUUAUUUGAGAAAACCCUUGAGCAGUGUUUGUUUCCCAGACCUCCUUCUCUGCAACAGGUGAGUCACUCUGGCUGAUAUUAAAAAAUAAUAAUGAAAAAACUCUUUCCCCCACACAAACCAACCCUAAGGCACACGAUUAGCGUGAGUUAUUUCACUCACAUGCCUGGAGUAGGGCAAUGUUUUAAGCAACUAAAGCUGUAUUCUUACAAUAGGAAGUAUUUAAUAAUCUUUGUAAUAGGCAGCAGAGCUAUCUGUGCCUUUAACAAAGCCUUUGUUCUGCUAAACCUUAUUCACAGGCAUUGUUCGGAGAAUAUAUGGAAGUGUUGGCAGGCCCGGUGACCCACGUAACAGUAAUGCAGUGGGCUGCUAUAAAACAAAUGAAAGAAAUCUAAGAUUUUAUUCUGGCAGUCUUAAUGUAUGUAAAAUCAAUGACUCCAACUAGCUGGAGCUAUAGGUUCUUCGUAGGAAAAAUUCCCCACUUGAAAUAUUUCCAUAAGGAAAUUUGCUUUAGGAAAAAAAUACAAAAAAGAUCUGGAGGAAAUCCCUAUUUUUUCCCCAAUUUUUGUUUUUAUUCUCACUCUUUCUGCUCGCUUAUAAAAGAAAAAGAGUAGUGAUUUAUUUCAUGUACUUGUUUUUAUGUACAUAUUUUUGGUUUAGAAAAAAGAGUCAAAGUAUUAUUUGUGUUACUUGCUUAGAAAGGGAGAGGGUCAACAAGUGAAAGUUUUAUUUUCAAAAGUGAAAAUCAAAAUCUAAACUCAAGGUUAAAGCAAGUUAAAAGUUUAAGACUUUUUAAAAGGGAAAUAGUUUUUCUCAUAUAUACAUGCAUUUUAAAAAUUACUCCUUCUUAGGGAGGAGUCACCUUUUUUAAAUGAGAAGAGGGAACAUUUCCAACAAUUCUCAAAUUAAGAUGUUCAACAUCUUAUUUUUCUAUAAAAUCUUUCAUUUGGAAUUCAAAAAAAAUCCCAUUGGGCAGAAAAAAAAAACAAAAAACUUUCAGAUAAAAUUGUUGCCUUCAAUAAAUCCCAGAUUUUCAAUUAAGGAACUUCAAAGUUUGCUUACUUUAACUAUUCAAGGUGUAAAAUACUGCCUGGUGAAAUUGACGGUGGCAAAAGUUGACCCUAAAAUUUGCUGGACUCUCUAGCCACACAACAUUUCUUUCUAGGCUAUUUAACCACGUAACUGAAAUAUAAAAGCAGGAGGUUCGUUCUGUGCUCAGAGAACUAGGAGUGAAACUUGAAUGGUGACAGGGAGUGAUUUUAUAGGAGGUGCUGAACCUGCUUAAUCUGUCUUUUGUGCAGAUUUUAACAGGCUGCACCACGUUUUAUUUAUGUAUUUGCCUCUUAUUCUCCAUCGUUGUUUCAAAGGCGAGCCAAGGAGACUGAAAGAGAUUGAAGUGGCCUAAAUCGGACCGAGGCCGGCAUUUGCUUAUCAAAGAGAUAAUUUUGCAAUACUAUGGUCUCUCUCCCGACAACGCUGCUGCUAAGGUACACAUGAAAGGCAGGUACGGUCUGCGCCCAGAGCCUUGGAGGAAAAGGUGAAUGUCCAUUUUGCAUAUCCCAUUUGUGUGCUAAAUGGCAGUGGUAUCUUAAAUAGGGCUACAGUGGCAAUUAAAAUAAUGAGAUACAUAAAAGACACCUGCUUUAAAUAAAUACAGUAAUCUGCCCAAAGCUCCUGAAUGGACUGGUAUUCAGCGAGAGCCCUGAACCUGCAUACAUACCUAUGCUUAACAACAUAAUCAUUAAAGAACAGAAACCUUUCCUUCUAAUCCCCCUCAUACAGGACAACAUGUGGAUGUUAGCAUAUUUGGACUGCUUUGCAUUCCUUCUUGCCUGCUUUUGAGAACAUACUACAUUUUAAAACUUGUUGGGUUCUUUCAUGUUUUAUUUGACCCUAUGUAAUUGCAUUCCUGAAGGAAUAACAGGCUCCCACAGUGAUUUAUACCCUGUAUUAAAUGUCAGUUUUGAAGAGACACAGUUAGCAGUUUGGUUUAACCUCCUGCCUUCCUAUGUAAGUUCAAAACUGAAGCGGAGCUCAGGAUCCAAGGGGAAAAGUAAAAAGACAAAAAUGGACUUAGAGGCAGCGCGGAAUGAGACGGACGUGUUCCUGGCCCCUCACCUUUCAGGACGAGAUUUCAGAAAGCCAUCUCUAUUUUUAACUGUAAUUUGUGUACUUCCCAUGCUGCCCUUGACCAGUUGUGACGGCUGUAAAUUAGCGCCAAGUGCUCUGCUUUCCCCGGGCAGACGACUGCAGAGGCUCCAACAAUGGGGCCGGAAUAUUUGUGCUGCAAAAUCAACCAAAUCAACCCAGUGGGGUUGGCCUGUGUCCCAAUAAGAAGGUCAGCGAAAUAAAUUGUCCUUGUAAUUAAGAGUUGCUCCUUUGUUUUUAUGUGUGUAACUGUGCGUAAAUAGCAAGGCGGGAUAGGUAUGUUAUUACUGUUUUAAAUAUUUCAUUCCCUUUGUAGAUUUCCUUACGACACAGUUAACAACUGCUUAAUCAUACGUUAUGACCUAAUUAUGGGGGAUUCAGUUAAAUAAAUCUUGAUGUAAUGCUAUAUUCUUGAUGUAAUGGCACUCUGAUGGCCGCUUUUAUGUGCGUGGAUGCAUUUAAAUGUACAAGUAAAUGCAGCCUGCGUGAGGAUCUGGCACGUGACUUAAAUGGUAAGCAUCGUUAGAAUCACUGCUGGAACAAGUAACAAGAGGAGUUCUUUAAGCACCAAUACUCUACAUGCACACCCAAUUCCUAUGCCCAGGAAAUAAACAUUCUGGUAAUCAUUUUUUUUUAACAUGCAACUGUAAUGUUUCAUUUUUAGACAGGAGAUUUAGCUGCAGCUGCUCCUGUUUUCAGCACUGAAAGCAAUAGAUUUGAUCCACCAAAGCUAUGCCCAGACUAGUUUUCCCUAAAAUAUCUUUUGCAUACACAAAUGAAUGCAAAAGUUUUGUGGGGUCAACCCAGGGAACCACUGGUAGUUGUUCUUAUGACUGAUUUUUCCACUGCAGUAAUUCAGGGCAUUCCCAUUGCCUUCUGCAAAGCCUCAUGUGUCCGUCAGGUGAAUGAUGAGUACAGAACAGAACGGGCCUGCUGUUUGCCAGGCUGGAAGGCUGACAAGGAUCUUCUAUUCUGGAGUGAAAAAUGUAGGUGAUAACGUUGUCUUGGGGUUGGGUUUAUCUCGCCAAAGGCAGGUGGCUUGAAGUCAUGGAAGAAGUUGCCCUCUGGCAAUGCGUGUCACUGUUGACUGUUCAGGGAGCUAAUAUGGCUAACUUAGACCUGAUGCUUGUCUUUCAGAUGGAUAGAGUUAGGUAAGAUGAAUCCUGCCGUGUGAUAUAUCCACGGCAUCGUGUGUCAGCUUCCCCUGACUCCUAGAUGUGCUGCCAGAUUGCUCCGUGUGAUUGUGCCUUGGGAGGAGACAGGCUGGGAUAGGUCCUUCAGCAGCCAAAUACAUCCAGAAGACAGCAGGUAAUCAGUGGAUAUGGACCUAGGGGUUGCAAGUUAAUAGCUCAGGAAUAUGGCAUGAGAUUUGCCUUUCAGAGCUUUAGGUGGCAAAAUGGUAGGUAGCCAUCCCUGCAGUUCUCACACUUUUCAGCAGUGGAGGGGAAUAGUUUUGUUUAAUGCUGACAGUGUUACCAGUCCAAUGCAAAAGGAGCAAAUCCUGAACAGAAAUGCAUUUGCUUCAUGGCUUUGAGACUAAGUUCCCCUACAGUCACUAGGAUCACCUACAGUAGCUGUCCAACUUCAGGACCAGGAAUAUCCUGUCUUAAACUGAUCAGCAUUUCCUCUCUGCUCUUUACUUGCUGUUUGUGCUGCCUAGCUGGGAUGGCAGCUCCCACGAGCAGAGCAUUGUCCAUUCAUGCAUGAAAUGAGCUUGGAGUUCAGCUGUCCUUCUUGCAGAGUGGGAAAAUGUGAAGAUGAACUUGAGUUAAGGCCCUCAGUCUGGCUCUCUGGUUUAAGCAGACCCAUGCACAUCGUGGUGUGGCUGUUUGGUUAUCAUCUGGCUUGGGUGGUGAGGAUGGAGAGGUUGUACCCCAGGGUAUCAACUCCUUAGCCUCUGAUUCAAAGAGGAGGUUAAGCAAUGGCAAACAAAGAAUCUUAAACCAGUGUGAGGAGAGAAAUAUCAAUUCCUAAUCAGCAUUGAUGCAUCAUUGUGAUUUGAUUUAAUUGCACCUUCAGUCAUUACUUGGUCUCAGUAAUAACAGGAAUUAGAGAACUGAGUGAGGGUGAGGAGUAUCUCCUGGAUUUCUCAAAUAUUUCUGAAAAUAUUAUUAGUAUUUUCCAGCCAUUCAUAACUCUAAAAGCUAAAACAACACCAGCAGAGGGAGACAAACCCUGUUAUCAGACUAACCUGGUCUAGCAAGACCUGAAGGAAUCACUGCUUUUUUAUAGGAACCUGAACUGGAAACCCGAAGGAGGAACUUUGGUGAGGUGUUGUGUGCCAUUAAGUCUGUACAUGCUUAAUAGUGUGCCGUAAGGAUAGAAGAAGUCUUCUUAAAAAAAAAUGCAAAAUCCUUUGGUACCAUACUGGAUGUUUCAUUGGCCAGGAAUGUUUCACUUAUUUUGGUUGGGUUGCAUAUGUGUGUGCAUGCCUUGCUGAAAAGUGCAGUUACGUUACCUUUAUUCAGAUGAAAAAUCAAAACAUUUAAACAAGAUUUACCCAAAUAUUCUUGUAUUUUACUGUUUUUUUGUUUCCUUUUUGUGGAGGGAAUACUGUCACCAAGCUUGACCCAGGUAAACACUUGGACUUGAUCACACCAGAAGUGUUUUCUGGUGAAUGGGAUGGUUGUUUGAAAUGUUUUAAUCAGACUGAAGUGUGAUGGUUGUGGUUUUCCUGAAGUAGGAAAUCAACCCAGACUUCCACAGGUAAGUUAAUUUUAAUGCCAUUUGAAAGAAAAUUGCAACCGUGAAGAAAACAAAAUCACAACAGCUUUCUCAGGGUGUAAAUGGCAGAAAAGAUGCCUCAGGUUGGCUAAUCUUGCUCUCCAGAUGACACAAAAAAGUCCUAAAUGGAUCCUGAACUACUUUGCUUCCAUAAAGUUUAACACCAAAAGAAAAUGCUUCCCUUGCUGUGCCUAGCCUCAGCCCCUGUUUCUGGGAGAAUGUAAAUGGAAGGAAGAUGGAAGGAAAGAUCUGAAAACAAAUGAGAGUCUCUCUUUGUAACAUAUUUGUUAACCUUUCCAUGUUCUGUGAGCUUGUGAAACAAUCUUGGUUUGCUUGAGGACAAAAAUUGGAAAUUUCUUUCACCAUUGAAUGAUUAUAUUCGUAUUUUCUUCACUAAUCAGACUGGAUUUUAUUCCUCUAGCUGUAUAUCUAAGAGGGUGAUGUCCCUGAAUCCUUGAGUAUGCAGAGGAGCAUCCCCUUGUUCGUGUAUAUUGAAUACAGUUUGGGCUGAUGAGGCAGCAAAUGGCUUUUAUGGCGAAGGACUGCCUGCAGUGGCAGGAAGUUGUGAUGCAUUUUGAAAGCAAUUCCAUUGCUCUUUGCACUGGGAGUGAACUGGCCGGGCUGGCACAACUGGUGCUGACAGAGCUGGGCUUCAAAAUGCAAACCCUGCGUGCGCUGUGGGACCGAGUCACCCAGCAGGAGGUGAGGAGGACGAAGCCCCCCCAGCCAGACGCUGUUCAUGCUGCCUGCAUCGGUGGGUAUCGCUCCCAGACAGGCCAGGAUCCGUUUGUCUGGGAGCCCCGCAUCUCUUAUCUGGAGAAAAGCUCUUGAAUGGGGCGCAGAAAUGGCAUUUUAUAGCACGAACCGUAAGAGAAAACACGUGCAGGGGACAGGUCUGUAAAAAUCAUCCUUUAAUUGUCUAGAUAGAAAUAACUGUGGACGUCUUCAAGUGCACUGCUGCUGCAGAUAAAACCAGCUGCAAAAAUCUCUGGGAGUGUUCAAGAAAGGUUUUUUCUUUCCCUACCAUGGAACAAAGGUACUUGUGAGGACAUUGGCUCUUACAAAAUACACGCUAGUAGGAAAUGUGCCAGAGGGGACCUCGGGAGAUCAUCUAUCCCCCUACCCCAAGGCAAGAUUUGCCAGGUCUGAGCCAUUCCUGGCAAAUCUGCCUCAACAGUGACAGCCUCUGCAGCUCCCCGACUAAUUUACUCCAGUGCUCACCUGUCCUUCCUCUUAGGAAACUUGUCUAAUGUUUGACCUAAAUCCUCCUUGCUGCAAUUUAAACCCAUUAUUUCUUGUCUUAUACCCAGUGGACACGAAGAACAAUUUAUUACCUUCCUAUCUGCAACAACCUUUUACAUAGUUGAAGGCUGUUAUCAUGUCUCCCCCUCAGUCUUUUCUUCUCUAGACUAAACAAACCCAAUUCUUUCAAUCUUUCCUCAUAGGUCAUGUUUUCUAGACCCCUGAUCAUUUUUGUUAUGGAAAUAAACAUCCUUUAAAUCAAAUUCUGUGAAUCAAUCUUGUGCAGAAAGGAAGGGAAACAGAGAGGUUAGAGUUAGCGGAGGGAACAGGAAUCUGGUGGUGAAAGAAGUGAAUUUGCUGAGGUCUGUUCAGAGCUCAGCCGUCCGUUCCUUGGGAUCAGGAAGUACACCGAACAACAUUUUUUCCCCAAGUUUCCUUGGGAAAAAUAUUCUAUGUGUCUACUACCAGAAAAAAAGACAGUGUUUCAUUUCCACAGGUUGUGUGGAAGGUGGUCUGUGGAAAAGCAUCAGGGGACAAUACCACAGUGAGGGCAUUUUGACCUGUGUUUUACGUCCAUCACAUAGACUGAAAUCCACUUGCCUGCAGCAGUACCAGUCCUAGGUCUCCAACAAGUGAUGUAGGUGGUCCUCAAAAAGCAGUUUAAAACUGGAUCAUCACUCUUACUUUUAAGAAAGUUUCAUCUCUCUGUAGAGUCCUUGUAAGCUGAGUGACACUGAAGAAGCAAGGAGUUAGGAGCCUACCACUGCUAACGUAAAAACAGGGCUGCAGAAGGAUCCAUAAAAAGUUUCCUGAGCUUAUGCUCCUUUGCUCCUUUUUGUCUUCUAAAGCAUUAUGGGCUGGACUGAAACUAUUUGAUGUUUUUUUUUUUUUAGGUGCUGGAUUGAGGCAUCCUAUACUGCUAAUGCUUCUAGGUGAAGCCUGCAGCAUCCUUUUGUUCGUGGUGCAUGGGAUGAGUGAUGCAUCGGCUCGGCCUUUUACUCAAAGUCUGUAUAAAUAGUAAAGCCAGCAGGAGCACCAGACUGCAUGCUUUGGCUAACUUGAAUUGUGUGUGCAAACAUCUGAUCCAGAUUCCUCGUUAAUAGACAUGGAAACAUGGCCUCAUUGUUCAGCUCGCGGAACAAUGAACCUAUAAACGUGGGACAGCAUAAAAUUUUAUAGAAAGAGAUGGAGGGCCAAGAGCAUCUUAAAGGGAAGUGCACCGAUGGGUCUUGAAAAAGAAGUUCAAGGAGGUAUGUUAAAGAUUACUGGGACCGGUCUUCCUUUCACUGUCUGAUCCAAUGGCAAAGGCUCGCUUAUCUGCCAAAAACCAGACUCGAGAGGAUGCCCGAGCGCUUCCUCUAGCAAAGUGAAGGAGGCCAGGGACAACAUUGUGCCUGAGGAUGAGAGGAUGCUGUACAUUUCUGCAUUUGAUCUGCUGAAUUUCCACCUGAGUUUUGAUCCUGUGGGCCAGGCUGAAGCUGUCCUUGCUUCUGCAGAGACUGCCCCCAACAUCAGCAGACCCACCUGAGCCAUCAGCCAUAACCCAGCGGGGAAAGUGAUCCUGUGCCACCUUGUCAGGCAUGUUGUGAAGACUGGACUUGGAGUUUUGCUGGUUUGGGUGAAAGGAGUUUUUGACCAGCAGGGGAAGGUGAUCCUGCAUGGAAAGGGAUGAUGCUAGUCAAGUCCCAAACCUGCACAGCCCUACCUCUGUCCUUCGCAUGCUUAGCCUGGUGUGAAGUGGACAGGCAGCAGGAUUUCCUGCCCUGCCUUGCCUCUGCACCUAACUGCUGCGUGGAGAAAGAGAGAUGGGAGGGGUCUGGUGCUGCAAGCCCUUCUGUCCAAGUGGAUGAACCUCCGCAUGGAUGAGCAGCCCCUUGUGCCCAAGGUCCCAUCAUACAAGAAAAAGUGAGGCAUGGGAUGUCCUCAGAUGUGCUGCCUUCCUGCAGUUCCUCUUCUUUCUUCAAACAAAUUCAGGGGAGGAUGCUCACAUUAAGGAAUAUGAAAUUCAGAGAUGUGCUGACGCCUCUGAGCACUGGUGAUAGUGCUUACCCCUAAACUCCUUUGCUAUUGCUGAGAAUCAAAUAGAGCAGAUGUGAACACGCUCGGAACAAACUCACUUAAAUCCCAGCGUGUUCUCUUACAACUGUUCCUGCAGCAGUUGUCCUGCUCUGCUUAUUUAUGCCUCGUGCUAGUGUUUGCAAUCAUUAAAGCUCCUGAUGAUAGCAGAUCUCGAGAUACAAUUAAAGGACAAAGACAGAUGUCAGCACCCCGGAGGUGCCAUGUGGUUGUGCGGCGUGGUAGAUUUGGCAGUGUUGCUAGACAGCGAGGAAGAGCAAAGCAUCUGAAAUAUCAGAGUCACAGCCGAAGUCAGACACAGCCGCGUAUCGGUGCCGGAGACACACUGAAGUGGUUUGUACGCUGAGGGAGCUGCCAGCUCUUGUGGUGUGCUCCAAAAGUAUUCAUGACUCAACAGAUCUGCAAGGAACCUGCUUAUCUGAGAUAUCCACAUGGCCUUCUGGUGUUCGUUAGGAGAGCCACGGUCUUUAUUAGGAGCAGCUACAAUUUCGGAACAGGAAGGAUGCGUUUCUCAUCCUCUGGAUGUCCUUCUUGCUUCUCAGGGAUGAGACCAGUCAAUGUAUAAAUGAUUUUUCAACAGUUGGCUUAAAGAGGCGCUCAUAACACAGAUCAGGAGAACUUUAAUAACCGACGAUUAAAACGGCUUCAGCUUUAUUUUAUGAAUUAUAUUCCUGAAGCACUUCCCCAAGACCAGGCCUCCUAGUUUUGAUGCACUACACAAGCAUCUCAUAAGGACAAUAUUUAGCUGCAGAGGCCUUACACUCUCAUGGAGCAGACAGGAUAAUGUAUGGAUGGAAAGCGAGGCGUGAAGUUUCUAGGCUUGCUCAGUCUUGGGCACCU